rnacentral:rRNA from 1 species
CCUACGGGCGGCUGCAGUGGGGAAUAUUGGACAAUGGGCGAAAGCCUGAUCCAGCCAUGCCGCGUGUGUGAAGAAGGCCUUCGGGUUGUAAAGCACUUUCAGUGGGGAAGAAAGCCUUGGGGCUAAUACCCUCGAGGAAGGACAUCACCCACAGAAGAAGCACCGGCUAACUCCGUGCCAGCAGCCGCGGUAAUACGGAGGGUGCGAGCGUUAAUCGGAAUUACUGGGCGUAAAGCGCGCGUAGGCGGUCUGAUAAGCCGGUUGUGAAAGCCCCGGGCUCAACCUGGGAACGGCAUCCGGAACUGUCAGGCUAGAGUGCAGGAGAGGAAGGUAGAAUUCCCGGUGAAGCGGUGAAAUGCGUAGAGAUCGGGAGGAAUACCAGUGGCGAAGGCGGCCUUCUGGACUGACACUGACGCUGAGGUGCGAAAGCGUGGGUAGCAAACAGGAUUAGAUACCCCAGUAGUC